rnacentral:rRNA from 1 species
UACGGGAGUGGCACGCGGUGUUCGGCUUGACUGGGCGUAAAGGGUUCGUAGACUGUAAAAUAAGUUACUUGUUAAACUUUAAAGCUUAACUUUAAAUCAGCUUGUAAUACUGUUUUACUUGAGUUUUAUACAGAAGAGUAGAAUUUUAUACGUAAGGGUAAAAUCUAAAGAUAUAUAAAGGAAUGCCAGUAGCGAAGGCGACUCUUUGGUAAAAACUGACGUUGAGGAACGAAAGUAUGGGGAGCAAACAGG